rnacentral:rRNA from 1 species
CGAGCGCAACCCUCGACCUUAGUUGCCAGCAUUCAGUUGGGCACUCUAAGGUGACUGCCGGCUAAAAGUCGGAGGAAGGUGGGGAUGACGUCAAAUCAUCAUGCCCCUUAUGACCUGGGCUACACACGUGCUACAAUGGGCGGUACAAAGGGUCGCGAACCCGCGAGGGGGAGCCAAUCCCAAAAAGCCGCUCUCAGUUCGGAUUGCAGGCUGCAACUCGCCUGCAUGAAGCCGGAAUCGCUAGUAAUCGCGGAUCAGCAUGCCCGCGGUCGAAUACGUUCCGGGCCUU